rnacentral:rRNA from 1 species
AGUGAACGCUGGCGGUAGGCCUAACACAUGCAAGUCGAACGGCAGCACAGUAAGAGCUUGCUCUUACGGGUGGCGAGUGGCGGACGGGUGAGGAAUUCAUCGGAAUCUACUUUUUCGUGGGGGAUAACGUAGGGAAACUUACGCUAAUACCGCAUACGACCUACGGGUGAAAGCAGGGGAUCUUCGGACCUUGCGCGAUUGAAUGAGCCGAUGUCGGAUUAGCUAGUUGGCGGGGUAAAGGCCCACCAAGGCGACGAUCCGUAGGUGGUCUGAGAGGAUGAUCAGCCACACUGGAACUGAGACACGGUCCAGACUCCUACGGGAGGCAGCAGUGGGGAAUAUUGGACAAUGGGCGCAAGCCUGAUCCAGCCAUACCGCGUGGGUGAAGAAGGCCUUCGGGUUGUAAAGCCCUUUUGUUGGGAAAGAAAAGCAGCAGGUUAAUACCCCGCUGUUCUGACGGUACCCAAAGAAUAAGCACCGGCUAACUUCGUG